GAACCGUACGAACGUUAUUCGGAAUCACUGGGCUUAAAGGGUGCGCAGGCGGUCCGAUAAGUUGGGGUGUGAAAUCCCUCGGGCUCAACCGAGGAACUGCGCCCAAUACUGUCGGACUUGAGGGAGAUAGAGGUGAGCGGAACUAAUGGUGGAGCGGUGAAAUGCGUUGAUAUCAUUAGGAACACCAGUAGCGAAGGCGGCUCACUGGAUCUCUUCUGACGCUCAGGCACGAAAGCUAGGGUAGCGAACGGGAUUAGAUACCCCGGUAGUCCUAGCUGUAAACGAUGAGCACUAGGUCGGAGGCCCUUCCACAGGUUUCCGGUCGUAGCGAAAGUGUUAAGUGCUCCGCCUGGGGAGUAUGGUCGCAAGGCUG
rnacentral:rRNA from 1 species